UACGUGGGUGGCAAGCGUUAUCCGGAUUUAUUGGGCGUAAAGCGAGCGCAGGCGGUUGUUUAAGUCCGAUGUGAAAGCCUUCGGCUUAACCGAAGAAGUGCAUUGGAAACUGAGCGACUUGAGUACAGAAGAGGACAGUAGAACACCAUGUGUAGCGGUGAAAUGCGUAGAUAUAUGGUAGAAUACCAGUGGCGAAAGCGGCUGUCUGGUCUGUCACUGACGCUGAGGCUCGAAAGCAUGGGUAGCAAACAGG
rnacentral:rRNA from 1 species